rnacentral:rRNA from 1 species
CGAAAGCYUGACGGAGCAAUACCGCGUGAAGGAUGACGGCCUAUGGGUUGUAAACCUCUUUUUUCAGGGAGGAAUCAAUGACGUGUACCUGAAGAAUAAGCAUCGGCUAACUCCGUGCCAGCAGCCGCGGUAAGACGGAGGAUGCAAGUGUUAUCCGGAAUCACUGGGCGUAAAGCGUCUGUAGGUGGUCAAAUAAGUCAACUGUUAAAUCUUGAGGCUUAACCUCAAAAUCGCAGUCGAAACUAUUAGACUAGAGUAUAGUAGGGGUAAAGGGAAUUUCCAGUGGAGCGGUGAAAUGCGUAGAGAUUGGAAGGAACACCGAUG